rnacentral:lncRNA from 1 species
CAGACACCCAUCUACUGACUCCACCCCGAGUGACAGUGGCUCCUCCCCCAGUGAUUGCGGUUCUAGCCCGUCUCCCAGUACCCCUCAGAAGCUACUUCCAGCAUACACCUCUCCAUUUGGACCGCGAGUAUUUCAUGCAAAGCCAAAUUCCACCGGUUCUCCAAGGCCCCAACCUGAAGGUUCUGACCAUCGCAAUACUCCAAAAUUGUCUGGAAAGUUAGGUGGUCAUGGACCAUGCGGGCGCCUUGUCCCCGUUAAAAUGGAGAGAAUCAAGGUCCUAACUGGUUCUGAGGUGGAGAGUGACUACCAGGAACCACAAACCAUUGACACCAGGGUGGUGAUGGGUCAAGAGACACUGCUCAAAACAAGAGAGAUCCAAAAAGGGUCACCCAUAGUUGAGCUAAGUGGUCAGGCUAUCCCUUUGCCAGGUAUCCCAAGCUUUUCAGAUCCUCCGGCACAAGCAGAAGAAACUCAGCUGGAACCCAGCAAAGAGGAAAGUCAGGACCAAAGCCCUCAAAAACAGCUGGAUCAACAACAAGACCCAGUGCAGCCAGCAACCACACCACCCUCCCCUUUUCACAACGCGCUCACCGCUUCAUCAUCCCCCCAAGAACCUGUCACAACCGAUGACAGAUUGAUAGACAACCAGGAAGAGGUUCAAGCCCUCUCUGAAAACGAAGUGCCUUCCCUCUCUUUUUCUGAGCUCCCAUGUCCAGUUGCUUUGUCGUUCUCGGAGCCAGCUUACACUGUUGACCCUCUACGGGUGGGUGUGCCCACCUCUCUUGACCCUGACCUGUAUUAUACUGCCCCUUCUACCCCAAUCAAAAUGGCUUCCCGCUCUUCACAUCUAAAACAUCAUUCAUAUCCUGGCUCUCCAGCCUGCCCACUCUCCCCUGGUUCUCCAUCAGACAGUGAAGAGCUCUGUUCCCCUCUCACCUCCCCCUCUGGCUCGUACAUCACAGCAGAAGGAGGCAGUUGGACUUCCUCGUACACAUCCUCCACCUCCCCCUGCACAUCUCCCAAUCUGCUCCUUACAGAGGAAGCACAGGAGGCACCUGCUUGCUUUGUGAGCUCCUUAUCAGAAAUUGGAGAUGAGGCUGGAGAGGAAAAGGGACAGGUUGGACCAGAGCGAGAGGAGGAAAGGCCAGCGGACCUCCGCCUGUACCACCCUGAGGAUCUUGUGAGGAACUCACGGAUAGGUGUAACGGGGACAGUAAUCCCCGAGGAGGAAGAGACCGUAAAAGGAGAGGAGGUCAAGAUUUCCAGAGAAAGUUGUCGUCCAUGCUGGGUGACUGAGGAUACAUUUCCUCUAAGGAGCAGUUACAGCCGAAGCAGUGACUCUCAGGAGGAUGGAGGAGAGUCUGAAAGUUCGCUCUGCCCACUAGAAGAAGCUGCUUCAGGAAGGAUAGAAUACUCUGGACCGAUGCAAACAGGCCUGAAGUUACAGCUGGAAUCAUGUAUAUCAGAGGAGCACUAUGGACAGAUUGAGGACCACCCACAGCUUGCUUCCACUGCGUUAACUCCUGACACAGAGAACAUGACCAUGGCUUCAUCUAGCCUCAGCCCUGACUCACCUCUUACCCCACUGGAUGUUUUCUGUCCUGGAGUCUUUGAUAGGCUUGGCUCUAGUUCAUUCAUGCUCUCACAGGCAACCUGUGUGGAUGAUAUACCAGAUGAGGAGAGGAUGAUCCCCGCCUCCCUCAUCUCCCUCCCCCUCCACACCAGUGUUAUCUUCAAGGCUGAUUCGAUGGAAAUCACCCUCUUCCCCACAGAGGAAGAGAAUGAAAUUGAAGUUCAUGACAGAAAUGAAGGAAAGGAUGUUGACGCAUAUGCAGCAGGAGAGGAGGAGGCAGAUGUUGAGGAUGAUGAUGACGACGAUGACGAGGAGGACGACGACGAUGAUGAUGAUGAUGAGGAGGAGAAUGAUUACGAUUAUGAGAAUGAUGUUGGUGGCAAUGCUAACUGUGCUGCUGAUGGUGAUGACAAUGAUAUAAAUAAUGGUGAGAAGGAUGAAGCAGAUGAAGAAGCCAAAGUGGAGGUGAAAGUGGUGGAAGAGGAGGAGGAAGAGCAGGAAGAUGAUGAUGAUGAUGAUGACGAUGAUGAUGAGUGUGAUAGCAAAGCAGCGGACGAUCAAACAGACGAGGACAGCUCAGCUUCUUUCCUUCAUUCACUCUCAGACACAUCUAUGAAUGAGGGGUUGGAUGAAUCUUUCUGUUUUCAAGAUGAUACAGAUGACUCAUUAGAUUCUGCCUCCUAUAAUGGAGAGGAGGAUGAACGUCUAUACAGCACUGAGAGGCAUGCACAAUCACUAGAACCUACACCGGUAGAUGCACCUGACCUGACUGACGUCCAAACAGAACCUGAACAGGAGCCGACCGCAGCCGGAGCAGAUCAAGCUGAACCUUUAUGCGAACAACUGAGCACAGAUAAAGCAGAGGCUCAUUCCCAACCAGCGUGUCUUGCUGAGCCCUCAGAUUCCCACCCCAUAGAUAACAAUAUAAAAUUCAAACCUAAACCCAGUGAGCCUCAGUCAGAGCCUGAAACAGAAUCGACCAGUGGAAUGGGUCAGACAAAAUCUUCCCAAAUGAGCACAGAUGAAACCGUAGAUCUCCAGCAAACCCCCUGUCCCUCAGAGGAAAUGUCUUGUCAGCUAGAGUCCUCCAGCAGCUUGAACGAGAGUGAGAUGAUAAAUAUCUCUGCUUCUUUCAAGACUCUUGAGGAACCUAAAGACGUUCCUCUUGUCAACUCAUCCAGUACUCCCGUUGUCAUUCAUGCUCCUCCAGACGUUGCUGAUGAUCUCCCUGCAGCUUCUCUUUCUGCCCCUUCCACACACGAGACAACAGACAUAAACAGUUCGCAUCCACUGGAAGAACAGGUUGAGGAAAUUCCAGAGGUGACAUCCAGUGAUUUGAAACAGAGCAAUGACUCCUCUGAGGAAGGAUCCACCAAAGAACCGGAAAGAGACUCCUUUAAAUUGCUCAUUAAGCCUCGUAAUCAUCAGCCAGAGAGCCAGAGAACUGUUGGAGCAACUAGACUUGUAUUAUCAAAAUCUUUCUCCAAUAGAGCUGAUGUCCCUAGAGGGGCCGAGGCCAUGUGUAGGCCCAGCAUUCACAGGGAAACUGACAUUGAGCUUGACCAGAAGAAUGGAAACACCACA